UACGAAGGGAGCUAGCGUUGUUCGGAAUCACUGGGCGUAAAGCGCACGUAGGCGGAUGUGUCAGUCAGGGGUGAAAUCCCGGAGCUCAACUUCGGAACUGCCUUUGAUACAGCACGUCUUGAGUCCGAUAGAGGUGGGUGGAAUUCCUAGUGUAGAGGUGAAAUUCGUAGAUAUUCGCAAGAACACCAGUGGCGAAGGCGGCUCACUGGCCCGGUACUGACGCUGAGGUGCAAAAGCGUGGGGAGCAAACAGG
rnacentral:rRNA from 1 species